GAAACUCUAGUAAUUACUACUACUGUUGGAGUGAAUUAUGUUUUUGACUCAAAAAUAGAAAAGAAUUAUUGAAGUUAUUAUAUAGGUGACCAAAGGUUUUUAAGUUAGUAAAAAGUUGUAACUUUGGCGCCCGGCUCUUGUAGCGCACUGGUCUGCGAUGGUACAUUAAUGUGCAACGUGUGAUUAGUUCGAAGCUCGAGCUGGGCGAAAAGAGAAAAGAGAGAGCCAGUGAAAGCAUAGCAGCAGC